rnacentral:rRNA from 1 species
UCGAACGAACUNUCCGUUNAUUGAUNANGACGUGCUUGCACUGAAUGAGAUUUUAACANGAAGUGAGUGGCGGACGGGUGAGUAACACGUGGGUAACCUGCCCAGAAGCAGGGGAUAACACCUGGAAACAGAUGCUAAUACCGUAUAACAGAGAAAACCGCCUGGUUUUCUUUUAAAAGAUGGCUCUGCUAUCACUUCUGGAUGGACCCGCGGCGCAUUAGCUAGUUGGUGAGGUAACGGCUCACCAAGGCAAUGAUGCGUAGCCGACCUGAGAGGGUAAUCGGCCACAUUGGGACUGAGACACGGCCCAGACUCCUACGGGAGGCAGCAGUAGGGAAUCUUCCACAAUGGACGCAAGUCUGAUGGAGCAACGCCGCGUGAGUGAAGAAGGGUUUCGGCUCGUAAAGCUCUGUUGUUAAAGAAGAACGUGGGUGAGAGUAACUGUUCACCCAGUGACGGUAUUUAACCAGAAAGCCACGGCUAACUACGUGCCAGCAGCCGCGGUAAUACGUAGGUGGCAAGCGUUAUCCGGAUUUAUUGGGCGUAAAGCGAGCGCAGGCGGUCUUUUAAGUCUAAUGUGAAAGCCUUCGGCUCAACCGAAGAAGUGCAUUGGAAACUGGGAGACUUGAGUGCAGAAGAGGACAGUGGAACUCCAUGUGUAGCGGUGAAAUGCGUAGAUAUAUGGAAGAACACCAGUGGCGAAGGCGGCUGUCUGGUCUGUAACUGACGCUGAGGCUCGNAAAGCAUGGGUAGCGAACAGGAUUAGAUACCCUGGUAGUCCAUGCCGUAAACGAUGAUUACUAAGUGUUGGAGGGUUUCCGCCCUUCAGUGCUGCAGCUAACGCAUUAAGUAAUCCGCCUGGGGAGUACGACCGCAAGGUUGAAACUCAAAAGAAUUGACGGGGGCCCGCACAAGCGGUGGAGCAUGUGGUUUAAUUCGAAGCUACGCGAAGAACCUUACCAGGUCUUGACAUCUUCUGCCAACCUAAGAGAUUAGGCGUUCCCUUCGGGGACAGAAUGACAGGUGGUGCAUGGUUGUCGUCAGCUCGUGUCGUGAGAUGUUGGGUUAAGUCCCGCAACGAGCGCAACCCUUAUUACUAGUUGCCAGCAUUCAGUUGGGCACUCUAGUGAGACUGCCGGUGACAAACCGGAGGAAGGUGGGGACGACGUCAAAUCAUCAUGCCCCUUAUGACCUGGGCUACACACGUGCUACAAUGGAUGGUACAACGAGUCGCGAAACCGCGAGGUUUAGCUAAUCUCUUAAAACCAUUCUCAGUUCGGACUGUAGGCUGCAACUCGCCUACACGAAGUCGGAAUCGCUAGUAAUCGCGGAUCAGCAUGCCGCGGUGAAUACGUUCCCGGGCCUUGUACACACCGCCCGUCACACCCAUGAGAGUUUGUAACACCCAAAGCCGGU